AUUGAACGCUGGCGGCAUGCCUUACACAUGCAAGUCGAACGGCAGCACGGGAGCAAUCCUGGUGGCGAGUGGCGAACGGGUGAGUAAUAUAUCGGAACGUGCCCGGUCGUGGGGAUAACGUAGCGAAAGCUACGCUAAUACCGCAUACGAUCUACGGAUGAAAGCGGGGGAUCGCAAGACCUCGCGCGAUUGGAGCGGCCGAUAUCAGAUUAGGUAGUUGGUGAGGUAAAGGCUCACCAAGCCGACGAUCUGUAGCUGGUCUGAGAGGACGACCAGCCACACUGGGACUGAGACACGGCCCAGACUCCUACGGGAGGCAGCAGUGGGGAAUUUUGGACAAUGGGCGGCAAGGUCUGAUCCAGCCAUUCCGCGUGCAGGAUGAA
rnacentral:rRNA from 1 species